rnacentral:rRNA from 1 species
GGUUGAAGGUGAGGUAAAACUCACUGGAGGACCGAACCAGGGCACGUUGAAAAGUGCUUGGAUGACUUGUGGGUAGCGGAGAAAUUCCAAACGAACUUGGAGAUAGCUGGUUCUCUCCGAAAUAGCUUUAGGGCUAGCGUCGAUGUUAAGUCUCUUGGAGGUAGAGCACUGUUUGGGUGAGGGGUCCAUCUCGGAUUACCAAUCUCAGAUAAACUCCGAAUGCCAACGAGAUAUCAUCGGCAGUCAGACUGCGAGUGCUAAGAUCCGUAGUCGAAAGGGAAACAGCCCAGACCACCAGCUAAGGUCCCAAAAUAACUGUUAAGUGGAAAAGGAUGUGGGGUUGCACAGACAACUAGGAUGUUAGCUUAGAAGCAGCUAUUCAUUCAAAGAGUGCGUAAUAGCUCACUAGUCGAGUGACCCUGCGCCGAAAAUGUACCGGGGCUAAAACAGUUUACCGAAGCUGUGGAUGACACAAAAGUGUCAUGGUAGGAGAGCGUUCUAUGUGUGAAGAAGGUGUACCGUGAGGAGCGCUGGAACGCAUAGAAGUGAGAAUGCCGGUAUGAGUAGCGAAAGACAGGUGAGAAUCCUGUCCACCGUAAGACUAAGGUUUCCAGGGGAAGGCUCGUCCGCCCUGGGUUAGUCGGGACCUAAGGAGAGACCGAAAGGUGUAUCCGAUGGCCAACAGGUUGAUAUUCCUGUACUAGAGUAUAUAGUGAUGGAGGGACGCAGUAGGCUAACUAAACCGGACGAUUGGAAGAGUCCGGCUAAGCAGUGAGGUGUAAGAUGAGUCAAAUGCUUAUCUUUAUAACAUUGAGCUGUGAUGGGGAGCGAAUUUUAGUAGCGAAGUUAGUGAUGUCACACUGCCAAGAAAAGCUUCUAGCGUUUAAUGAUACUCUACCCGUACCGCAAACCGACACAGGUAGUCGAGGCGAGUAGCCUCAGGUGAUCGAGAGAACUCUCGUUAAGGAACUCGGCAAAAUGACCCCGUAACUUCGGGAGAAGGGGUGCUGACUUAGGUCAGCCGCAGUGAAUAGGCCCAAGC